rnacentral:lncRNA from 1 species
AUUGGAAGAAGGUAGAGCAGAGCUACCCCCGCCCUGAGUGCCUAUGCUGCAAUUUGCAGCCAACUCCUGCCAGGUUGAAACUCUGCAAGCUGCAUGCAUGUCUUCUUAAUAUUUAUUAGUAUUUAUUAGUAUUAGCACUCUGAGACAUCUGGAAAUUCAAGCCCUCCAUUUGCCACACAAACUUAGUGAGUUCAGGUCAGACCUGGAGGUCUGGCAACCUUAGUAGGCUUUCAUUAUUUAAGAGGAAGAGAGCAGUCUUCUAUCAGUUAUAGCAUUUUAUAGAAGAAGUGUUUGUGGGUUUUUUCAUGAAAUGGUAGAACACAGCUGGGGAGGGAGAGGCGGAGACUUACAGCACCAUGGCUCUUUGGAAGUAACUCCCACUGUGCUCAUUUGGCCUUACAGUUCUCUUGUGGAUGUUUCGUUUAUGUCUUCCUGCUCAGAACAAGACCUUCCAAAAAGGCAAAAUCACCCUCUUUCUGCUCAAGUUGUGUACUGUUUAGUUCACUUUGUUCUGUAAACAUUGACCAGGAUUUUCUCUCUGCUUUAUUCAAGUGUCAGUGCUAACAGGGCCACCAUUUUUCCCUGCCUCCCUUCUGCCCCCCUCCUUGCCUAGCAGGCUGCUGGGAAAGGAACAGAACAUUCUCACUGGAAGUCUGAGCUUGCAGAGGGCUUUUGAAAUCAGGCCAAAGCCUCUGUAGAAUUAGGCCGAGGGCGGCAGGAAGCCCUCAGGUUGCCCACCUUUGCUUCAAGCCGUGUCAGUUGCAUCCUUUAACCGGGGACACCUUAUAAGCAGAUAGAUAGAUAGAUAGAUAGAUAGAUAGAUAGAUAGAUAGAUGUUAACCAGAGUUUAAAAAAAAAACGCUAAGAAGAAAUGCAGACAGUAAUACCAUUUUAGAAGAGGCAAUCUCCUUGCAUUCCCUCACAGAGGAAGGAAUGCCUCUUCUAAGAUAUGGAAUAUGCAAGCACCAUCUAAAAACAAUCAUUUUAUUAUUAUUAUUGGUUUUGCAUUUAAGAUUUCUUUAAUUAAUUGAAAGCCCUAAUAGGAAUUACAGCUAAAUUAGAGAAAGAACACUUGUUUCCCCUUCACCCCAACUAAAUAACAUCAUAGGUAAAGGUAAAGGGACCCCUGACCAUUAGGUCCAGUCGUGGCUGACUCUGGGGUUGUGGCGCUCAUCUCGCUUUACUGGCCGAGGGAGCCGGCGUACAGCUUCCGGGUCAUGUGGCCAGCAUGACUAAGCCACUUCUGGUGAACCAGAGCAGCACACAGAAACGCUGUUUACCUUCCUGCUGGAGCAGUACCUAUUUAUCUACUUGCACUUUGACGUGCUUUCAAACUGCUAGGUUGGCAGGAGCAGGGACAGAGCAGCGGGAGCUCACCCCGUCGUGGGGAUUCGAACCACCGACCUUCUGAUUGGCAAGUCCUAGGCUCUGUGGUUUAACCCACAGCGCCACCCGCGUCCCAAAAUAACAUCAUAACUGUUGACAAAUAUUAUUAUUGACAAAUAAUAAUUGGUUAUUAUUAUUUAUUGGAUUUAUGUACUGCCCUUCAUUCAAAGAUCUCAGGGUGAUCUUUACAACAUCAAAACAAAACAAAACAAAACGGAAUAUUAUUUUUAUUACUGGUAAAUAAGAAGUCAAUGUAAGGAAUAGCAGGGAACAACCCUCGUCCAUCUGCUGAAAUUGUAUUGAAGCUUUCCUCUCAUACAAAGAAAGCCUUUGUCUUUCUUCACCUGCUGUGGAGAGGAGGUUUCGCAGCAGAAGCCGGGAUGAAAAUCAAACAGGAGAAGCUGUGGACAGUGAGGGGAGAGAAAUAAGGAUGGAGAGGGGGAAAGAGUGUAGUUUUCAGGCUAAGGUGUCAUCACCCUUCUUGGCUGUGAUGCUCUCUUCAAACUCACACAGCAAAUAAUUCAGUUCUGGUGUCUGAAAAUGUGGUGCUAUGCUUAAUUUAUAUUUUGCUCAGCUUGUGGUUAUCCUUCUGGCAGAGAUUAGCAGGUGACAAUACACCACAUACACACUACACUUCCUGGGGAAAUAAGAAAAUAGACCCCUCAGGUGGCCAUAAGUGACAUUUGCUGUAGUAGUGAGAGAAAUGUAGAUCGGGUUUUUUGUGGCAUUCUCUGCAUCCUACAUCCUUACAGCGAAAAGGUCACCUCAAGAUAGCUUUUGUUUAGUGCAAAGGCUACAUACCUAUUCAGACAAUGGGGUUCCUUGGGUAUUUUGAACCAUUCCCCCUUCCAUUUGACAGGUCAUUUUAUAUACCACUCGGUGUGGGUGAAUCUGUCCAUUUUGGUUUCUCUUGGUUCUUUAUUUUUUCAGAUUCCUCAUUUUUCUCCCAAGGAGCUCAAGGUGGCAUAUAUGGUUCAACCCAGUGAAGUAGGUUAGGCUGAGAGACAAUGACAGGCCCAAGGUCACCCAGCAAGCUUCAUAGCUGAGCCCCGGUGAUUCAAAUCCUGGUCUCCCAGGUCAUAGUCCAACACACCAACACUCUCUUUGCAAAAUUCACGGAUGUGUGAAUUUGGGAGGAUAUCUGUGUUUCACUUUGUGUAUUGUUUCAGAACAUGCAAGUUGGGUAGGGUCAGGUCAGCUUUAAAUGUGAAGUGAAUUGAAUGUCUCCCCCAUCUCCAUCUUUGAGUAAGCCUAUUGGAUACAGCACAGCUUGCUUCUGGGUAGGCUUUCAUAGGCCAUAACAAAGGGUAGGGGCAUAGCUUAGGGGUACAGCAUCUAGGUUGCAAGUUCAAUCCCUGACAUUUCAAAGCAGAGCUGGGAGAGACCUUGACUGAAAGAUUACUGUGUUUCAGUUCAUAUACAGUGGUACCUCGGGUUAAGUACUUAAUUCGUUCCGGAGGUCCGUACUUAACCUGAAAUUGUUCUUAACCUGAAGCACCACUUUAACUAAGGGGGCCUCCUGCUGCCACCACGCCGCCGGAGCACGAUUUCUGUUCUUAUCCUGAAGCAAAGUUCUUAACCUGAAGCACUAUUUCUGGGUUAGCGGAGUCUGUAACCUGAAGCGUCUGUAACCUGAAGCGUCUGUAACCCGAGGUACAACUGUACUGUUUUAGAAAGUGCAAAUUAGGUAAAAGCACCUUUAUAUGUGAAGUGGAUCGAAUUUCUCCUCUAUCCAUACACAAUACCCCACUUUUCUCAAUUUCUUUACUUUUAUACUCCAAGGCAUAUUCUUCACAGAAUGCAUUUGUACAAAUAAGGUGUAAUUAGCCUUACCCAUCAGAUAAUGGUUGACCUUCUGUUGCUUCUGUGCAGAUUCAAUGUGUUAAUACUACACUCAGCGUGGUUCAAGGUUGAGUGAAAUUGUGAGCAGAGACAUACAAAUAGAGAAACACCUCCCCAAACAACAUAAAGACAAAAGGUUCCCAUCGAGGUAACUACCUCCUUCAGCUCUGACUUCGCUGUGUUAAACCGAGCAUUUGUGGAGAAUAAGCAGGCCCACUUGUGGCAAACCUGAUUUAUUCCAGAGGAAGGAAGGAAGGAAAACAUGAAGUGAAAUUGCUGAGGAUUGGAAAUCUUUUUUUGGAAUGGAGAAUGAGAGCUGAGGUGACAACAGGGAUUGACAAAUCUGUCAGUUUGGGUUUUUCAAUUUCAAAUCUUAGGGUUGUCAUAUUUCAAAAAGUGGAAGUCUGGACACAAAACCUGUUGAGCUUUUUUAGCAAAAUAACAAAUAAUAUUUUAAAGCUGUUUUUGAGGGAAAUGGCCAAAAUGGCUGGAUUUCCCCAAACGAUUUCCGCCUGGACACAGCUUCUGACUACAGUUUUCUGGGUAUGUCAGGGAAAUUCUGGAUGUAUGGCAACCCUACUAAUCUUCAAUUUAGUUCUCCACAUUGCCGCAGCCAUUUGCAUUUUUUUACAAAAAAUAAAAUCCACAGGAAAAUUUGUCAACAUUUUAGUUUCUCCUAAUAAACAAUCAAUCAUUUUUGGGUGUGCCACAUUUCCAAAGUUAAUGCCAUGCUCAAGGCAGCUUACAACAUAUAAAAAACCUCCGAGGCGGCUUCCUGUUUGAGUUUUCCAUACAUUUUGAGGCUUGCGUAUUGAGUUUUCGGUUUUCGAACGUUUCGGAAGUCGAACAGUCUUCCGGAAUGAAUUACAUUCGAAAACCAAGGUACCACUGUAUAUGCAUUUUCAUGCACACUUUCCCACAAUAUAUGCAUUUUUGUACAUGUUCAUGGUUGGGGAAGCACCAUCUCAAAAUGUGAAAACGUGAAUUUCAAAGGAUAGCUGUGCUUCAGUUUGCUGUUUGUUCCAGACGUGCGUAAUGGGUAGUUAACAGGCAAACAAAAGUGAAUUCAUCCCUCAUCCCUAGUUAAUAACAGGCACAAUCUGAUGAUGUGAAAAGCCUCAAGC